rnacentral:sRNA from 1 species
GCUUCAUAGAUGCACAAAAAGAAUCUGGUUUGUGUCCCGGUUGCAAGGAGCCGUAUAAAGUGGGGGAGUACGAGGAAGACCUCCAUGAUUAUCCUACCAAUGGGACAUUGGCAUCAUUACCAGCACCGAACGGUUCAAAAAAUUCAAACAUGUCGGUUAUGAAAAGAAAUCAGAAUGGAGAAUUUGAUCAUAAUAAGUGGUUGUUCGAGACUCAUGGUACCUACGGAGUUGGUAAUGCUUAUUGGCCUCAAGAUGAGUUCGAUGAAGAUGGUGAUGAAGCGGUAAAGGCAGGAAUGCUUGAUCACGAGAAGCCGUGGAAACCUUUGAGCCGUAUAACACCAAUUCCGUCAAGCAUUAUGAGUCCUUACAGGUGUCUUAUUGCUGUUCGAUUAGUAGUGUUGGGGUUCUUUUUACACUGGAGAGUGACACAUCCAAAUAAUGAUGCAAUAUGGUUGUGGCUCAUGUCAAUUACUUGUGAGAUAUGGUUUGGCUUUUCAUGGAUUCUAGAUCAAGUUCCCAAGCUAUGUCCUGUGAAUCGUUCCACUGAUCUUGCUGUGCUUUUUGAAAAGUUUGAUAGUCCAUCCCCAUCAAACCCAACAGGGAGAUCUGAUCUACCUGGUCUGGA